rnacentral:rRNA from 1 species
CACGUAGUUAGCCGCGGCUUUCUGAUUAGGUACCGUCAAGAUGUGCACAGUUACUUACACAUUUGUUCUUCCCUAAUAACAGAGUUUUACGAGCCGAAACCCUUCAUCACUCACGCGGCGUUGCUCCGUCAGGCUUUCGCCCAUUGCGGAAGAUUCCCUACUGCUGCCUCCCGUAGGAGUCUGGACCGUGUCUCAGUUCCAGUGUGGCCGAUCACCCUCUCAGGUCGGCUACGUAUCGUCGCCUUGGUAAGCCGUUACCUUACCAACUAGCUAAUACGGCGCGGGUCCAUCUAUAAGUGAUAGCAAAACCAUCUUUCACUUUAGAACCAUGCGGUUCUAAAUGUUAUCCGGUAUUAGCUCCGGUUUCCCGAAGUUAUCCCAGUCUUAUAGGUAGGUUACCCACGUGUUACUCACCCGUCCGCCGCUAACUUCAAAGGAGCAAGCUCCUUAUCUGUUCGCUCGACUUGCAUGUAUUAGGCACGCCGCCAGCGUUCAUCCUGAGCCAGGAUCAAACUCU